ensembl:lncRNA LINC01884 long intergenic non-protein coding RNA 1884
ACUUGCCUGGUGACUUCUAUCAGAAUCUCUGUGUAUAAUUCUGAAAGAGGCAACAGACACCUGAGCCAUGUACUCCUCCUGAUGGAUCGCAGGAGCAUAAGAUGGUAAGCCGAAACACAGAAUACAUCACAAAGCCCAUCCUUGAAACUAGGACAAUGUCCAUCAGCUACAAGCCCUAUGAUUAAGUCCAUCAAAGGUGAAGUAGAUGGAACUCCAUAUAGACAAAAAUAAAGGUGACAGAGAACUUCUGGGGAGCAGUGCAGAGUGAAAAAAACCAGCACCCAUGACUUCCUCAUGUGGAAUUCUGGGCUGAUGCUCCAUCUGACUCCAGCACUUCUCACAAAACUGGGACAACUAACUGUUUAUCCAACAUCUGCUGGCUAAAUAAAGACAUGAUCUUCACCUUUUGGGAUUGUUAAUUUAAAAUGGUUCCAUAAGAGCAAUGCAAAGACAGAGAUAUUUGGCAGCACUGCAGCUGGUGAUUUAUAUGGCUCUUCACAAGGUGUUAUUUUGGGGUAUCAAGGUAUGGAUGCUUAAAUCAGCUGCAGGAAGUAAGAAAGAAGAAAAAAGGAGUGAUAAAGAUAAAAAAAAAUCAACCUUGGUCCUUCCACCAAGACCCAUUAAUUUCCAUAUCAUCAUCUGCAUAAGAGGGAAGAUUCCUACAUGACCAGAUCCUACUUACUGGUACACCCAUCAACAAAAAACAAACCCAAAAUGGAGAAGAGAAGAGGAUAUAUUAACCAUUACAUAUUUUAUAAACACUACAAACCCUGGCAAGUAACAUUUGUGAAAUUAGUGAAUGAAUGAAUUAAUAAAUGAACAUAA